UUGAACGCUGGCGGCAUGCCUUACACAUGCAAGUCGAACGGUAGAGGGGCAACCCUUGAGAGUGGCGAACGGGUGAGUAAUGCAUCGGAACGUGCCCAGUCGUGGGGGAUAACGCAGCGAAAGCUGUGCUAAUACCGCAUGUGAUCUGUGGAUGAAAGCAGGGGACCGCAAGGCCUUGUGCGAUUGGAGCGGCCGAUGUCAGAUUAGCUAGUUGGUAGGGUAAAAGCCUACCAAGGCGACGAUC
rnacentral:rRNA from 1 species